rnacentral:pre_miRNA from 1 species
AGUCUUCUGUAUCCGUGCUGAGAUUUCGUCACACAUCAGACCACAAAAGCUGAUGGGACUCCCAAAAUAAGUAAAGCG